rnacentral:rRNA from 1 species
AACGAACGCUGGCGGCAUGCCUAACACAUGCAAGUCGAACGAGACCUUCGGGUCUAGUGGCGCACGGGUGCGUAACGCGUGGGAACCUGCCCUUAGGUUCGGAAUAACUCCCCGAAAGGGGUGCUAAUACCGGAUAAUGUCUUCGGACCAAAGAUUUAUCGCCUUUGGAUGGGCCCGCGUUGGAUUAGCUAGUUGGUAGGGUAAAAGCCUACCAAGGCGACGAUCCAUAGCUGGUCUGAGAGGAUGAUCAGCCACACUGGGACUGAGACACGGCCCAGACUCUUACGGGAGGCAGCAGUGGGGAAUAUUGGACAAUGGGCGAAAGCCUGAUCCAGCAAUGCCGCGUGAGUGAUGAAGGCCUUAGGGUUGUAAAGCCCUUUUACCCGGGAUGAUAAUGACAGUACCGGGAGAAUAAGCUCCGGCUAACUCCGUG